CCUACGGGCGGCUGCAGUGGGGAAUUGUUCGCAAUGGGCGCAAGCCUGACGACGCAACGCCGCGUGGAGGAUGAAGGUCUUCGGAUCGUAAACUCCUGUUGAUCGGGACGAAAAGCUCCAACCCAAUACGUUGGAGACUGACGGUACCGGUUGAGGAAGCCACGGCUAACUCUGUGCCAGCAGCCGCGGUAAUACAGAGGUGGCAAGCGUUGUUGUGAAUUACUGGGCGUAGAGCGCGCAUGUCCGACGUGAAAGCCCCAGGCUUAACCUGGGAACUGCGUCCGAUACUGGGAGGCUUGGAUUCGGGAGAGGGAUGCGGAAUUCCAGGUGUAGCGGUGAAAUGCGUAGAUAUCUGGAGGAACACCGGUGGCGAAGGCGGCAUCCUGGACCGAGAUCGACGCUGAGGCGCGAAAGCUAGGGGAGCAAACGGGAUUAGAUACCCUAGUAGUC
rnacentral:rRNA from 1 species